GUCCGAACCCACUAACGUUGAAAAGUUAGGGGAUGAGCUGUGGAUAGGGGUGAAAGGCUAAACAAACCUGGAAAUAGCUGGUUCUCUCCGAAAACUAUUUAGGUAGUGCCUCGUGUAUCACCUUCGGGGGUAGAGCACUGUCAUGGUUGUGGGGUCCAUUGCGGAUUACUACGCCAUAGCAAACUCCGAAUACCGAAGAGUGCACUCACGGGAGACAGACAUCGGGUGCUAACGUCCGGUGUCAAGAGGGAAACAACCCAGACCGCCAGCUAAGGUCCCCAAAUAUUGCUAAGUGGGAAACGAAGUGGGAAGGCUAAAACAGUCAGGAGGUUGGCUUAGAAGCAGCCAUCCUUUAAAGAAAGCGUAAUAGCUCACUGAUCGAGUCGUCCUGCGCGGAAGAUGUAACGGGGCUAAGCAAUAUACCGAAGC
rnacentral:rRNA from 1 species